rnacentral:miRNA from 1 species
CACACACUGCGCCCUUCACACAUACAAUACGUCCAAAUAUAUAUAUAUAUAUAUAUAUAUAUAUAUUUAUAUAUGGAUGUGUUUGGACGUAUUGUAUGUGUGAAGGGCGAGGUGUUGG